rnacentral:rRNA from 1 species
UACGUAGGGGGGCAAGCGUUGUCCGGAAUCAUUGGGCGUAAAGAGCGUGUAGGCGGCUUGGCAAGUCUGGUGUGAAAUCUUGCGGCUCAACCGCAAGCGGUCACUGGAAACUGCCUCGCUAGAGUCCGGAAGAGGAGAGUGGAAUUCCCUGGUGUAGCGGUGAAAUGCGCAGAUAUCAGGAAGAACACCCGUGGCUAAGGCGGCUCUCUAGUACGGUACUGACGCUGAGACGCGAAAAGCGUGGGGAGCGAACAGGG